CAGCAGCCGCGGGAAUACGUAGGGUGCAAGCGUUAAUCGGAAUUACUGGGCGUAAAGCGUGCGCAGGCGGUUUGUUAAGACAGGUGUGAAAUCCCCGGGCUCAACCUGGGAACUGCAUUUGUGACUGGCAAGCUAGAGUCUGGCAGAGGGGGGUGGAAUUCCGCGUGUAGCAGUGAAAUGCGUAGAUAUGCGGAGGAACACCGAUGGCGAAGGCAGCCCCCUGGGCCAACACUGACGCUCAUGCACGAAAGCGUGGGGAGCAAACAGGAUUAGAGACCCCAGUAGUCCCUGUCUCUUAUAC
rnacentral:rRNA from 1 species